UGGUGCCCAACAUCCCCAUCACAUCCCAUGUCCCCAUCACUUCCCAUGUCCUCAUGGUGCUAUAUGUCCUCACGGCGCCCUAUGUCCUCAUGGUGUCCCCAUCACGUCCCAUGUCUUCAUGGUGUCCCAUGUCCCCAUCACUUCCCAUGUCCCCAUGGUGCCCUAUGUCCUCGUGGUGUCCCCAUCAAAUCCCACAUUCCCAUGGUACCAACCAUCCCCAUGACAUCCCACAUCCUCAUCACAUCCACAUCCCAUAUCCCCGUUAUGUCCCAUGGUGCCCCAUGUCCUCAUGGUGUCCUGUGUCCCCAUCACAUCCCACAUCCGCAUUACAUCCCACACCCCGUCAUGUCCUAUGUCCCCAAGGUGUCCCAUGUCCAUGGGGUGUCCCACAUCCCCAUCACAUCCUGCAUCCCCAUGCUAUCCCACGUCCCCAUCACAUCCCACAUUCCUGUGGUGCCCCACGUCCCCCGCUGUGGGGCAGGGCCUGGCUGUGGGCUCCCCACCAGAUGUCACCAGCUGGCCCUGUGAAGGCCUUGUCCCCACCAUGGGGACAGUAGGGCUGGAGCUGGCUCGCCAGAGCCACCCAACGUCCCCACGCCACAGCAGGGGGAUGUCAUCAUGGGGUGGGUCCCUGAGCAUCCUGGGGACCUGGGGGACCUUGGGUGACCAUGGGGACCCUUUACCUGCCCCCUUGACACCCCUAUUAACAGCCCCCUUAACACCCCCAUUACUUGCCUUAUUAAUACCCCAUUUACCCGUCCCAUUAAUACUCCUGUUUCCUGCCCCAUUAACAUGCCCAUUACAUGCCCUGUUGCUUGCCCCAUUAAUUAUCCCAUUACCUGCCCCAUUAGUUAUCCCAUUACCUGCCCCAUUACCUUCCCAUUACCCACCCCAUUAUGCACCCCAUUACCCGCCCCAUUACCUUCCUAAUUACCUACCCUGCUGCCUUCCCCAUUACCCACUCCAUUACCCUUCCCAGUACCUGCCCCGAGCCCACUACAUCACCAGGCCAACCUGAUCUGGUGGGUGGCAACCCUGCCUAUGGCAGGGGGUUGGGGUUAGAUGACCCUAAAGGUCCCUUCCAAGGAGAGCCAUUCUGUCAUCCCCAUCCCCAUCCCCAUA
rnacentral:lncRNA from 1 species